GCUGUAGAAAUUGAAAGGCCCCCUCAACACCAAAUCGGAAGCAAGAGGAGAAUCAUGUUUGGAUUUCGAGGGUGUUCUCUGCUUAUUUUUAAUAGUCAAAUAAAUAGAAAUUUCUUCGAUUGAUCUAAACACCAAAUUAAUUGCAGUUUCAGGCCAUGCCAACAGAUUUGAAUUGCAAGAUCCAGUUCUUGACUGUUUGAACUCGAGCAUCCAGUGCAUGUUGUCUUAGAGUAUUAGCUUAACUGAUACAAGGGUUCAUGUUCGCCCAGAAGAGAGGAUGGUUGAUGCUCAUGCUGUGGAAGAUGAUGUAGAUUUAGAGGGAAAUCA